GUGAAGUCCUGUGGCGGGCAGGGGGUGGCAACGGGGCAACCGCGGGGCACGGGGGGCCAAGGGGGGGCCAGCUCUGCCACCAAACGCUUCUCCAGGUACCUGCAAGACAGAGAGGGGCGUGAAGGGCGCCGCGCACAGGGGCUGGGGGCACGGGACGGAGCCCACCCCCCCCUCCCCCCACCACCGCCACCCCGCUGGCCCUACUCACGCGUACUCCCCGGCGAAGCUCCGGUAGGUCCAGGGGGACGCGGGCCGGCACCCCGCGGCCAUGCCGGUGGCCGGGCUGCAACACGAGACCGUGUUGAUCUCCACCAGCAGCAGCUUGGUCCGCUCGCAGAUCCGCAGGCGCCCCGCGCCCCGUUCCGGGCCACCCAGCAUAGCCCGGAGAACCGGAGGCUGCCGGUGCUGGGGGGCCAGGGGGGGCCCGGCGCUGCCGCCUCGGUGGAGCCUCGGCGGAGCCACGCGCCCGCCCGCACAGGCGCAGCCACCGCCGCACGUGCACCCCCCCGGACCCCCGAGCCACCCGGUGGCACCGCCAGGCCGGGGGGAUGCAGGGCACGGCCCCGCCAGGGUGUGUGGGUCCCGGUGUCGCCGGCUGUCCCAGGGGGGGGCCAAACGUGUCCCCCACACCCUCACCCCCCCCGGGAUCCCUUCCCCCCCUGCGACAGCGCGAGGCGAUUGCCGGGUUUGGCACCGAGCGCUGCAGCCCACGCGGGCUCGGAGCGGAGCUUAGCAACCCUCCGGCGGCGGCAUGGCAACGGCACCGGCACCGGCACCAGCCCCCGGUACGGCACUCGGCUCCCUUGGCCCCCCCCUGGGCUCCCCCCGCGGCCCUCACCUCGUAACGCUGCGCCGGACCCCGCGCCGGACCCCGGAGCUGGCGGUGGCAGGGGCUGCGCUCGGCCUCCCCCCCGGCCGGGAAUGUGCCACGCUCAGCAUGGCCAAGCCUCGCACCUCCCCCGGGCAGCACCGACGGCAGAUCCUGGCGUUGGGGUGGCCGGUGACCCCCCCACAAGCCCUGUGGGGACCCCCAGGGGGUCGCAGCCCCCCACCGGACUCCGCUGCCUUUCCUCAGUCCCGGUUCCCCCCUUAGCUCAGCGCCGGGAGGGUCCCCGCAGCCUGCCUGCUCCCCGUCCCAUCCCCAAUCCCGGCCUUUUAGAAAAGCCACGGGCGGAACAAACAGGGAUUUAG
rnacentral:lncRNA from 1 species